ensembl:snRNA U6 U6 spliceosomal RNA
GUGUGCUCUCUUCAGCAGCACAUAAAUACUAACAUUGGAAUGAUACAGAAAGAAUUUCCACCGCACCUGUGCAAGGAUGACAUGCAAAUUCAUAAAGUCUUCCAUUUUUUC